UACGGGGGGGGCAAGCGUUGUUCGGAAUUACUGGGCGUAAAGGGCUCGUAGGUGGCCAACUAAGUCAGACGUGAAAUCCCUCGGCUUAACCGGGGAACUGCAUCUGAUACUGGAUGGCUGGAGAUUGGGAGAGGGAUGCGGAAUUCCAGGUGUAGCAGUGAAAUGCGUAGAUAUCUGGAGGAACACCGGUGGCGAAGGCGGCAUCCUGGACCAACACUGACGCUGAGGAGCGAAAGCCAGGGGAGCAAACGGG
rnacentral:rRNA from 1 species